ACUAUGAUGAAUUUGCUUACAUUGAUCAUCUGAAAUGAUGCUGUUUUGUCCUCUAAGAAGUUCUGAGUUU